AUUCUUAAAUACUAUAUACUAUAUAUUAUAUAAUAUACUAUAAAUUAUGUAUAUACAUAUUUAUAUAUGUGAUUUAUACUAUAUAAUAUAUAAAUUGCAUAAUUUAAAAUGUUACUUAUAUACACACAUACCCACAUGCAUUUAAUUUAGGAACUACAGAAUGCUAAAUGUUUUGAUUCCAAGAGAAAAAAUUAAAUUUAGUGGUUACGGGCUCAGGUUUGGAGUAAGACAGAUAUAAGCUGGAAUCUCAGCACUGCCAUUUACUGGCUGUGUUGCUUUGGGCAAAUAUUUACCCUUUUUUAGCCUCAGUUUCUUUAUCUGUACAAGGGAUACAGUAAUAAUGAUUAUCCUGUGGAGUCGUGAGAGGAUUCAAUGAGGUCGUGUAUGUUAAGCACAUUUAGCUUUUAUUAAAUGAUAACUAUCAUUAUUAUUUAUGCACAUGGAGGAGGAUUAAAGGGGUGUCGGCUGGGAAUAGGGACAGCCAGUUAAGACCAGUAAUUGCGGGGAAGGCUUUGAGCUGAGGACUGGAAUUUCUACCAGGGUGAGAAAAUGAGGGACAAGGAAAAUGGAUCUCACACACUCAUGUAAUCAUUUUUGAGCAAGUUUAAUUAAACUGCACCUAUCAAAGCAUCUCAUGGAAGAAUUGCUGCAUUUCAUUCAGAAAAUUUGGGUUGAAAUACUAAUCACGUUUAUGUGACUAAUUGGGGGGAAUUUAUCCAAAGCAGGGUCACUUUUCUGCAUCAAAGAAAAGAGAAUGUGUUAGUUUGGGGUCUAGAGUUAGGAUUAUUGAGAUGAAAUUUUCUUGAAGCCCCAUGCUGACAACUGAUGCUGUAUAUCCAUUUUUAGAAGACAGAAAAAAAAAAUGGUUAUCAAAGCCGAAAGGAGUGUCUUCAUGUACCUUGAUUGACAUUGUGAAAUCUCUGAGCAGCUGGUUUGAUUCUCAAGUCUACGGCAGAGGACAGCCUGUUGCAAACCUCCAAAGGUUUCCUUGCUCAGCUGUUUCUUAAUCACUAUCCAUGAAAAAUAUGGACCAGGAUAUACCAAAAGAAAUACUGAUGAUAGCUUGGUGGCAAGUUUGGCCCAGGAUUCAGGUACAAAUCCAAAUGGAAAUCGUUAUUUUUUCUAAAUUGUGAUAUUUAUUGCUGAUCUUAUCUGUUGCAUAGGCAUUAACUUCUCAUCUCUGUCCGUACACAC
rnacentral:lncRNA from 1 species